rnacentral:rRNA from 1 species
UGGGGAAUUUUGGACAAUGGGCGAAAGCCUGAUCCAGCAAUGCCGCGUGUGUGAAGAAGGCCUUCGGGUUGUAAAGCACUUUUGUCCGGAAAGAAAUCCUUGGCUCUAAUACAGUCGGGGGAUGACGGUACCGGAAGAAUAAGCACCGGCUAACUACGUGCCAGCAGCCGCGGUAAUACGUAGGGUGCAAGCGUUAAUCGGAAUUACUGGGCGUAAAGCGUGCGCAGGCGGUUUGCUAAGACCGAUGUGAAAUCCCCGGGCUCAACCUGGGAACUGCAUUGGUGACUGGCAGGCUAGAGUAUGGCAGAGGGGGGUAGAAUUCCACGUGUAGCAGUGAAAGUGCGUAGAGAUGUGGAGGAAUACCGAUGGCGAAGGCAGCCCCUGGGCCAAUACUGACGCUCAUGCACGAAAGCGUGGGGAGCAAACAGGAUUAGAUACCCUGGUAGUCCACGCCCUAAACGAUGUCAACUAGUUGUUGGGGACUUCAUUUUCCUUAGUAACGUAGCUAACGCGU